rnacentral:rRNA from 1 species
AACGCCGCGUGCGGGAUGACGGCCUUCGGGUUGUAAACCGCUUUCAGUAGGGACGAAGGGUGACUGACGGUACCUACAGAAGAAGGACCGGCUAACUACGUGCCAGCAGCCGCGGUGAUACGUAGGGUCCGAGCGUUGUCCGGGAAUUAUUGGGCGUAAAGGGCUUGUAGGCGGUCCGUCGCGUCAGAAGUGAAAACUCAGGGCUUAACCCUGAGCCUGCUUUUGAUACGGGCGGACUAGAGGGAUGCAGGGGAGAACGGAAUUCCUGGUGGAGCGGUGGAAUGCGCAGAUAUCAGGAGGAACACCGGUGGCGAAGGCGGUUCUCUGGGCAUUACCUGACGCUGAGAAGCGAAAGCGUGGGGAGCAAACAGGCUUAGAUACCCUGGUAGUCCACGCCGUAAACGGUGGGCACUAGGUGUGGGGGACAUUCCACGUUCUCCGUGCCGAAGCUAACGCAUUAAGUGCCCCGCCUGGGGAGUACGGCCGCAAGGCUAAAACUCAAAGGAAUUGACGGGGGCCCGCACAAGCGGCGGAGCAUGCGGAUUAAUUCGAUGCAACGCGAAGAACCUUACCUGGGUUUGACAUAUGCCGGAAAACUGCAGAGAUGUAGCCCCCGCAAGGUCGGUAUACAGGUGGUGCAUGGCUGUCGUCAGCUCGUGUCGUGAGAUGUUGGGUUAAGUCCCGCAACGAGCGCAACCCUCGUCCUAUGUUGCCAGCGGGUCAUGCCGGGGACUCAUAGGAGACUGCCGGGGUCAACUCGGAGGAAGGUGGGGAUGACGUCAAGUCAUCAUGCCCCUUAAGUCCAGGGCUUCACGCAUGCUACAAUGGCUGGUACAAAGGGCUGCGAUACCGCAAGGUGGAGCGAAUCCCAAAAAGCCAGUCUCAGUUCGGAUUGGGGUCUGCAACUCGACCCCAUGAAUCGGAGUC